rnacentral:rRNA from 1 species
GUGGCGAACGGGUGAGUAACACGUGGGCAAUCUGCCCUUCACUCUGGGACAAGCCCUGGAAACGGGGUCUAAUACCGGAUAUCACUCUCGCAGGCAUCUGUGAGGGUCGAAAGCUCCGGCGGUGAAGGAUGAGCCCGCGGCCUAUCAGCUUGUUGGUGAGGUAAUGGCUCACCAAGGCGACGACGGGUAGCCGGCCUGAGAGGGCGACCGGCCACACUGGGACUGAGACACGGCCCAGACUCCUACGGGAGGCAGCAGUGGGGAAUAUUGCACAAUGGGCGAAAGCCUGAUGCAGCGACGCCGCGUGAGGGAUGACGGCCUUCGGGUUGUAAACCUCUUUCAGCAGGGAAGAAGCGAAAGUGACGGUACCUGCAGAAGAAGCGCCGGCUAACUACGUGCCAGCAGCCGCGGUAAUACGUAGGGCGCAAGCGUUGUCCGGAAUUAUUGGGCGUAAAGAGCUCGUAGGCGGCUUGUCACGUCGGGUGUGAAAGCCCGGGGCUUAACCCCGGGUCUGCAUUCGAUACGGGCUAGCUAGAGUGUGGUAGGGGAGAUCGGAAUUCCUGGUGUAGCGGUGAAAUGCGCAGAUAUCAGGAGGAACACCGGUGGCGAAGGCGGAUCUCUGGGCCAUUACUGACGCUGAGGAGCGAAAGCGUGGGGAGCGAACAGGAUUAGAUACCCUGGUAGUCCACGCCGUAAACGGUGGGAACUAGGUGUUGGCAACAUUCCACGUUGUCGGUGCCG